rnacentral:rRNA from 1 species
UACGUAAGGGGCAAGCGUUGUCCGGAAUCACUGGGCGUAAAGCGCACGUAGGCGGUGUAGCAAGUUGGGGGUGCAAGCUCCGGGCUUAACCCGGAAACUGCCUCCAAAACUACUAUGCUUGAGAGUCAAAGGGGAAGCUGGAAUUCACGGUGUAGCGGUGAAAUGCGUAGAGCUCGGGAAGAACAUCGGUGGCGAAAGCGCUCUGCUGGACUGCAACUGACACUCAGGGACGAAAGCUAGGGGAGCGAAUGGG